ensembl:lncRNA
GGUUGGCGUGCCGUAUGAGGGGGGGCUGUGCCCUCAAUCCCAGCUUCACUCUGCCAUUCUCCAAAAUUGCAGGAUCUCCCCUCAUUUUAAGCCAGCCUCGUGCCAACGCUCCCCAGCGUUGUCCCUGGGGGUUACAGCUUCCAAACCAACGCAACCAGCAGCACCAGACUGAUGGAAUUUGCUGGGUUAUGGCUUGCUUCUUCACCGACCAACCCCCAGUGAAAGAAAUCAGGCUCUGCAUAGGUCACUGCAAAAUCAAAUCAAAUCAAAAUCAAUUAAUCACUGAAAUUCCUUUGCACGGGGCUGGGCUAUCUCUCUGCUCUCUCAAUGCCUGAGCAGCACGAACAGUGUUGCUAGCUUUACCAUGCCCAAGGGGGAGGCAGACAGUGAUUUUUUCCAUCCAUUGGAUGAUGCAACUCAGGAGAAACACUUAUAGGGGCAAGAUGAUGAGGCUCAAAGUUCAAAAGGGUCACCCAGCUCAAAGCAGUGUGGAGAAGAGGGAUGUUCAGCAGGAAGAUAUCAUAGAAUCAGUAAGGUUGGAGAAGACCUUGAAGAUCAUCCAUUCCAACCACCCACCUGCCACCGAUGUUGCAUACUAACCAAUGUCCCCAAGUACUGCAUCUACCUCCAGGGAUGGUGACUGCUUCCCUGGGCAGUCCCUCCUUGCAAAGCCUUCCCAACCUCAAUUUCAUCCUUCCCCCCCUCAUCAUUCCGCAACUGCCUUUUGCAAGCACAGCCACCCCCCAGUGAGCUGUGAGGGGCAUCUCAAAGUGCUUGGAGAAGGAGUCGUCGUCUUUCCCCAGCAAAACGCCUUUGACAGCAUCCAGAUUUAGUAGUGGAACACAAGAGAAGCAUGCAAGCUGUCAGCUGAAUCCCAGGACAUUGGAGGAGACAGCUGGCUCUGACUCGUGUCACUGCCUCAAUACCACUGAUGCAAACAGGAGAGCAAUGCUCGCCUUGUUCAGCAGAAGGAAACAAAUCGGCUCGGCUGUAAAACAAGAACAGCCUUGCUCCUGGGCACAGGGAUGUGCUCCUAUUGCUCCUCAGCACUGCGGUUUCAUUUUUGGGCAGCCUUAAUCCAACAGCUGGAUCCAGCAACAACUGAGGCACCGAGCCCUCUCUAAUUGUAGCAGCAGCAUUAGCAUCACUGUAGAGGUGCUUAAAUGCUUUGCUGGAUCGCUCUGUGCGUGCAGCGUGUGUGAUUUUGGCAUUGAUGUGCUUUGGGGGAAUUUGUUGGUUUUUUUUUUUUUUUUUUUUUUCCUUGUCUGUAAAAUGGGAAAGUUACAGAUGGGGCAAAUCCAGGAGCAAUUUCAAGCAAAUCUCUAGCUGGGACAGCCCUUGAAGUAAAUACAUUUGGGGCGGGGUGGCUCAGACCAAGACACCACUUUAACCAAACCAACGUUGGUUGGGGCACCCUCAAAAAGUGCUUCUUUCAGCAUCCCAUCCCAGCAGGGCACUGCUCCAUCUCAGGGCAUUACAGAUUUAAAAGAGGGAGAAAUGUCUGUUUUUGCUAUUCUCAUUUGUUCCUGGCCCCUGUUAUAAAUUUAUUCAGGAAAGACAUGGGAAAAAAAAAACAAACACACAGAAGCUGUUUCUAAAGAGAAAUUUUAGCUGAGGUCAGGAGCCUCAGGGCUAUUUUUGACUGUAUGAAACUUAAACAGCAGAAGUUGAUGGGUGGGAAAAUCUUGAGCAUUGCAUUGUGUGAGCUU